rnacentral:rRNA from 1 species
AGUGAACGCUGGCGGUAGGCCUAACACAUGCAAGUCGAACGGCAGCACAGUAAGAGCUUGCUCUUACGGGUGGCGAGUGGCGGACGGGUGAGGAAUUCAUCGGAAUCUACUUUUUCGUGGGGGAUAACGUAGGGAAACUUACGCUAAUACCGCAUACGACCUACGGGUGAAAGCAGGGGAUCUUCGGACCUUGCGCGAUUGAAUGAGCCGAUGUCGGAUUAGCUAGUUGGCGGGGUAAAGGCCCACCAAGGCGACAAUCCGUAGCUGGUCUGAGAGGAUGAGCAGCCACACUGGAACUGAGACACGGUCCAGACUCCUACGGGAGGCAGCAGUGGGGAAUAUUGGACAAUGGGCGCAAGCCUGAUCCAGCCAUACCGCGUGGGUGAAGAAGGCCUUCGGGUUGUAAAGCCCUUUUGUUGGGAAAGAAAAGCAGCAGGUUAAUACCCCGCUGUUCUGACGGUACCCAAAGAAUAAGCACCGGCUAACUUCGU